rnacentral:rRNA from 1 species
AAUGAACGCUGGCGGCAUGCCUAACACAUGCAAGUCGAACGAAGGCUUCGGCCUUAGUGGCGCACGGGUGCGUAACGCGUGGGAAUCUGCCCUUGGGUUCGGAAUAACAGUUAGAAAUGACUGCUAAUACCGGAUGAUGUCGUAAGACCAAAGAUUUAUCGCCCAAGGAUGAGCCCGCGUAGGAUUAGCUAGUUGGCGGGGUAAAGGCCCACCAAGGCGACGAUCCUUAGCUGGUCUGAGAGGAUGAUCAGCCACACUGGGACUGAGACACGGCCCAGACUCCUACGGGAGGCAGCAGUGGGGAAUAUUGGACAAUGGGCGAAAGCUUGAUCCAGCAAUGCCGCGUGAGUGAUGAAGGCCUUAGGGUUGUAAAGCCCUUUUACCCGGGAUGAUAAUGACAGUACCGGGAGAAUAAGCUCCGGCUAACUUCGUGCCAGCCGCCGCGGUAA